rnacentral:rRNA from 1 species
GUGGGGAAUAUUGGACAAUGGGGGGAACCCUGAUCCAGCCAUGCCGCGUGUGUGAAGAAGGCCUUUUGGUUGUAAAGCACUUUAAGCGAGGAGGAGGCUACCGAGAUUAAUACUCUUGGAUAGUGGACGUUACUCGCAGAAUAAGCACCGGCUAACUCUGUGCCAGCAGCCGCGGUAAUACAGAGGGUGCAAGCGUUAAUCGGAUUUACUGGGCGUAAAGCGCGCGUAGGUGGCCAAUUAAGUCAAAUGUGAAAUCCCCGAGCUUAACUUGGGAAUUGCAUUCGAUACUGGUUGCUAGAGUAUGGGAGAGGAUGGUAGAAUUCCAGGUGUAGCGGUGAAAUGCGUAGAGAUCUGGAGGAAUACCGAUGGCGAAGGCAGCCAUCUGGCCUAAUACUGACACUGAGGUGCGAAAGCAUGGGGAGCAAACAGGAUUAGAAACCCCUGUAGUCC